rnacentral:lncRNA from 10 species
ACACAGGCCAAAUCCAAAUCCAAAUCCCUGGACCCCCAGUGAAUUACUCUUCCCUAAGAACCCUUCCUCCUCCCAACCCUACACCCCUGGGCUGCGGGGCACCCUGGCUCAACAGCUUAGACCCUGCCUCCUGAGCACCUGCUGUGGGCCAGGCCCUGUGCCGGCCCCUACAACCCUGCCUCCCUCACGGGGCCCAGCAGCCCUGCUGGGUGUGAAUUUCCCCAAUAUCACACAGGACCAGGAAGCUGACUCAGGGCGGGGAGGAGUUUGCCAAGGCCACCCAGCGAGGAAGCCAGUGAGCCGAGAUCCAGCCCGGCCCACGCGCUUUCCACCUCCUGCAGGGAACAGUACAGGGCAGAGCCUGCUGGGGUGGGAGGGACUGUGGGAGUGUCCAGGGGAGAAAGUGGUGUCCAAACAAAGCCUUGAGGGGAAGGGCCCUGCUCCACAAAGGCGGGCUGGUUUGCUGAAGCCGGGUAGGCCUUUGUUUGCUCAUUCACCCAGCAUGUGGAUCCAAGCCCUAGACGAGGCACCGGGCUAGGAUACAGAAUGGAAGGUGUAUGAGAGCUGGGAUUUUUAUCUGUUUUGCUGUAUGAAGUAGAUGAGGGAAGAAUCAAGACUGAUGAUAAGAUUAUUUCAACUCAACAUACCAGUAAAACCGGCUCCAAGAUCAAGACAGAGAAUAUUUCCAGCCCCGAGAAGCUGCCCUGGCUCUCCUUCUGGUGUGAGGAGCAAAUGGACCAUGCACGACAAGAGCAGGUGCAAUGCCUGGCUCAUGGGGCACAACGAGCCAUGAGAUCCACUUCCCACGCCCACCCACCCAUCCAGGAUGGAGAAGUGAGUACCCUGGGAUGAGGUCCAAUGGAAGAUCUCAGGGAAGGCCUCCCACAGCCCACCCGCAAAUAUCUCCCUAACUCACUGCCUGCGUGCCUGAAGUCUCUCUCACAAACUCAUUCCGAGGUAGGAGGUCGGACUUGACUCCAGAGGCACAGCUCAGACACUGGACCAAAUUGAGGACUAGCUAAAACAGGUCGGUGAAGCACCUCCCCCUAAGACACGCCCACCAGUGUGCCAUAUCAGUUUACCAUUGCCAUGGCAACUCCCUGAAAUUGCCAACCUCUUCUAUAGCAUUGACCUAACAACCCAGAAGUUGCCCCCUUGUCCUGUAAAUUUCUGCAUAACCCGCCCCUUCAUUUGCAUAUAAUUAAAGUAGGUAUAAAUAUGAGGGCAACCCUGCUUCUGAGCUGCUGGUCUGGGCCCACUGCCUAUGGGGUACCCCUGCUCCAGGAAGAGCGAGACCUCUGCUGCUACUGUACACUGUCACUUCAGUGAAAGGUGCUGUUUAACACCAUCUGCUCGCCCUUGAAUUCUUUCCUGGGAGAAGCCAAGAACCCUCCAAGGCUAAGCCCUAAUUUGGCCAGCCCUUUCUUGUCCUGCAUCAAUCAAUUCCUUGGCAUCAUGAAUGCCCACCCUUCCUGUUCAGGUUAACCCUGGCAGGGCAUUGCUCAGCCUUCACAGCUCAGCUCAAGCCCCCUCUUUCAGGAAGCCUUCCCUGAUUGCUAGAGCCCACAGCAUCUCUCUGUCAGUCUUUUCACUCUGUACUUCCUUUGAGCUUUGGAGUCCCAGCCUCACAGCUGAAAGGGCUCUGAGAAAUUGUGCAACCCUGCCCUCCCUCAGCCUGAGCCCCCAUGCCACAGACAAGGAAACUGAGGCCCAGACAGGCCUCACCAAGCCUGCACCAUGAGUUCUCAGGAGAGCUGGCACAGGAGGCCACCCCAGUGCCCAUCCCGGUCACUGUCCACUAUGCCAUGCAGCCAAUGCAGACUGGGUUUGCCAUUCAUUAUUUAUUUAUUUAUUUAUUUAUUUAUUGUAUUAUUAUUAUUAUUAUUUUGAAACACAGUAUCACUCUGUCGCCCAGACUGGAGUGCAGUAAUGCGAUCUCAGCUCACUGCAACCUCCACCUCCCGGGUUCAAGCGAUUCUCCUGCCUCAGCCUCCUGAGUAGCUGGGAUUACAGGCACCCACCACCAGGCCCCGCUAAUUUUUGUAUUUUUAGUAGAAACGGGGUUUCGCCAUGUGGGCCAGGCUGGUCUCAAACUCCUGACCUCAGGUGAUCCACCUGCCUCAGUCUCCCAAAGUGCUGGGAUUACAGACGUGAGCCGCUGCGCCUGGCCCCAUUUGCAUGUUUUUAAUAAAUUAUAAAAUCCUUCACACAUGCCGAAAGAAGGGAACAGCUAUCUCUCUGCAACAUGGGAAUUUCUCUGCAACUUGCCCUUUUUGCUCUGCACUGAGAGGUCCCUCCGUGAGGGGCGUCUGUGACUCCAGCUCCACCUGCACUGCCACGUGACGCUCCCAGGCCGAGGAGACAACGCUGUGCAUGAUGGCCUCAGGGCCAGUGGACUUUUGGAUGGUUUCCAGGCUCAUGCUAUUGAUCAGGUUUUUAAAGAUCAAAGUGUAGUGGCCAGUUGUGGUGGCGUCCGUCCGUAAUCCCAGCACUUUGGAAGGCCGAGGCUGGAGAAUUGCUUGAGCCCAGGAGUUCAAAACCAGCCUGGGUGACAUAGUGAGGCCCUGUCUCUACAAAAUAAUUUUUUUUAAAUUAGCCAGGCAUAGAGCUGGGCACAGUGGCUCACGCCUGUAAUCUCAGAACUUUGGGAGGCUGAGGCGGGCUGAUCACGAGGUCAGGAGUUGGAGACCAGCCUGGCCAAUAUAGUCAAACCCGUCUCUACUAAAAAUACAAAAAUUAGCUGGGCGUGGUGGCACACGCCUGUAGUCCCAGCUACUCAAGAAGCUGAGGCAGAAGAAAUGCUUGAACCCAGGAGGCAGAGGUUGCAGUGAGCUGAGAUUGCACCACUGCACUCCAGCCUGGGCAACAGAGCAAGACUCCGUCUAAAAAAACAAAUUUGCCAGGCGUGGUGGCAUGCACCUGUAGUCCCAGCUACUUGGGAGGCUGGGGCAGGAGGAUCACUUGUGCCAGAAGGUCGAGGCUGUGAUGAGCCAGGAUGGCAUCACUGCACUCCAGCCUGGGCAACAGAAUAAGACUCCGUCUCAAAAAUAAAAAAUAAAAAAAGGUCAAAGUCUGCCAACUCCUGAAUUCAAGGCCUCGUGUAAAACAAGCUCACCCAAACAGGGGUUUCAUAGGAGCGGCUGGUAGGCGCUUCAUUCGUCCCUCUGUCCCAGUCUCUUCCACCUCCCAGUUCUUCACUGAGCACCUACUGUGUGCUGGACCCUGCUGGCUGCCAGGCCUGCAGAGGUAACCCUGAGACAGAGGCUGGGGAGGGCCAUGGUGGGAGGGCAGCAGCUUUGCAGCUCCAGCCUGUUGCCGCCAGAUCACCCUAUUGCCUAAAGAAGCUGGAAAUGUGAGUUCUGCGUGAAAGCAAAGGUCAGUACCCUUUAAUUUUCUUUUGCAACUCUGAGGACCAAACAAAGCAUAACUGCGAGCUGGGCUGGCCCUUGAGCUGCCAAUUGCCAGCCCAGGCAGCUCUUUUCCACGCACCACACCAGGAUUGUAGACAGGGACACCGAGGCACAGGUGGAAGGGCGACUCUGGUGGUCUCGCACGGCUGAGGCACAGCAGCCUGGGAUGAGCUGGCAGGCUGCAGCCGCCUAGUGAAGAGCCUUGAAUGCCUGUUGGUGCCUAAUAAAGGUUGGUAACGGUGACAUAUGAAUACAAUUGACCCUCAAGGCUGGGCGCAGUGGCUCACUCCUGCCAUCUGAGCACUUUGGGAGGCCAAGGUGGGUGGAUCACCUGAGGUCAGGAGUUUGAGACCAGCCUGGCCAACAUGGUGAAACACCAACUCUACUAAAAAUACUAAAAUUAGCUGGGCGUGGUGGUCUGUGCCUGUAAUCCCAACUACUCGGGAGGGUAAGGCAGGAGAAUCUCUUGAACCUGGGAGGCAGAGGUUGCAGUGAGCCGAGAUUACACCACUGCACUCCAGCCUGGGCGACAGAGCAAAAACCUGGAUCAAGAAAAAAAAAAUACAGCUGACCCUCGAACAACACGGAUUUGGACUUGGAGUUUCCACUUCUUUUUUUUUUUUUUUUUUUGAGAUGGAGUCUCACUCUUGUCCCCCAGGCUGGAGUGCAAUGGCGCGAUCUCGGCUCACUGCAACCUCCACCUCUUGGGUUCAAGCGAUUCUCAUGCCUCAGCCUCCUGAGUAGCUGGGAUAACAGGCGCGCGCCACCAUGCCCAGCUAAUUUUUAUAUUUUUAGUAGAGACGGGGUUUCACCAUGUUGGCCAGGCUGGUCUCGAACUCCUGACCUCAGACGGUCCGCCUGCCUUGGCCUCCCAAAGUGCUGAGAUUACAGGCAUGAGCCACUAUGCCCAGCCAGAUUAUCUUAAUAACAUUUUCUUUUCUCUACCUUACUUUAUUAUAAGACUAUAGUAUAUAAUACACGUAACACACAAAAUAUGUGUUAAUCAACUGUUUUCACAGUCAACAGUAAGUUAUUGGUAGUUAAGGCCGGGUGCAGCGUCGCAUGCCUGUAAUCCCAGCACUUUGGGAGGCUGAGGCGGGCG